rnacentral:rRNA from 1 species
GUUAUUUCUUACAGCUCUGAGCAAAAAUUCAAAAUGAAUCAAAACUUUCAACAACGGAUCUCUUGGCUCUCGCAUCGAUGAAGAACGCAGCGAAAUGCGAUAAGUAAUGUGAAUUGCAGAAUUCAGUGAAUCAUCGAAUCUUUGAACGCAUCUUGCGC